rnacentral:rRNA from 1 species
CAGUCGCCGCGGUAAUACAGAGGGUGCGAGCGUUAAUCGGAUUUACUGGGCGUAAAGCGUGCGUAGGCGGCUUCUUAAGUCGGAUGUGAAAUCCCUGAGCUUAACUUAGGAAUUGCAUUCGAUACUGGGAAGCUAGAGUAUGGGAGAGGAUGGUAGAAUUCCAGGUGUAGCGGUGAAAUGCGUAGAGAUCUGGAGGAAUACCGAUGGCGAAGGCAGCCAUCUGGCCUAAUACUGACGCUGAGGUACGAAAGCAUGGGGAGCAAACAUGAUUAGAUACCCGGGUAGUCCCUGUCUCUUAUAU